GAUGAACGCUGGCGGCGUGCUUAACACAUGCAAGUCGAACGGAAAGGCUCCUGCUUGCAGGGGUACUCGAGUGGCGAACGGGUGAGUAACACGUGGGUGAUCUGCCCUGCACUUCGGGAUAAGCCUGGGCAACUGGGUCUAAUACCGGAUAGGACCACAUUUUGGAUGGUGUGGUGGAAAGUUUGUCGGUGUGGGAUGAGCUCGCGGCCUAUCAGCUUGUUGGUGGGGUAAUGGCCUACCAAGGCGUCGACGGGUACCCGGCCUGAGAGGGUGUACGGCCACCUUGGGACUGAGAUACGGCGCAGACUCCUACGGGAGGCAGCAGUGGGGAAUAUUGCACAGUGGGCGCAAGCCUGAUGCAGCGACGCUGCGUUGGGGAUGACGGCCUUCGGGUUGUAAACUCCUUUCGCUAGGGACGAAGCUCAAGUGACGGUACCUGGAGAAGAAGCACCGGCUAACUACGUG
rnacentral:rRNA from 1 species